AAUCCCUACGAUAACCUUAAUCCCUUUAUCACAAUCGAGUAAUUCUAUACAACUAUAGAAUCUAUUAUGUUAAAACUAGUAACAAGAAAACAGCCCUUCUCUAUAAUGUAAGUGUAAGCCAGAAAGGACAAACCACUGUCAAUUAACACAAAUGAUUUUCAAUUAGCAACACCUCAAGAAAACCCUACUUAACUUAGUGUUAAACUGACACAAGAGCAUUACAAGAAAGAUUAAAAGAAAAAGAAGGAACUCGGCAAAUAAUGACCCCGCCUGUUUACCAAAAACAUCGCCUCUUGAUAAAAUAUAAGAGGUCCAGCCUGCCCAGUGACCUAAGUUCAACGGCCGCGGUAUCCUAACCGUGCGAAGGUAGCGUAAUCACUUGUUCUUUAAAUGGGGACUAGUAUGAAUGGCAUCACGAGGGUUAAACUGUCUCCUUUUUCUAAUCAGUGAAACUAAUCUCCCCGUGAAGAAGCGAGGAUAAAUUUAUAAGACGAGAAGACCCUAUGGAGCUUAAAACAAAUUUACACCUGCUUUAUUACACCCACCUUCCCGAAUACUUACACAAACUAUAGCAUGCUUGAUAAAUAGUUUUCGAUUGGGGUGAUCAUGGAGAAAAAAAUAACCUCCACGACGACAAGGGAGUUUCCCUGAGCCAAAAGCCACAACUUUAAGCACUAAAAAAUUAACGCACUUUGACCCAAUUACUUGAGCAACGAACCAAGUUACCCUAGGGAUAACAGCGCAAUCCACUUCAAGAGCUCCUAUCGACAAGUGGGCUUACGACCUCGAUGUUGGAUCAGGGUAUCCCAGUGGUGCAGCCGCUACUAAA
rnacentral:rRNA from 1 species